rnacentral:rRNA from 1 species
UACAGAGGGGGCAAGCGUUGUUCGGAAUUACUGGGCGUAAAGGGCUCGUAGGCGGCCAACUAAGUCAGACGUGAAAUCCCUCGGCUUAACCGGGGAACUGCGUCUGAUACUGGAUGGCUUGAAUUCGGGAGAGGGAUGCAGAAUUCCAGGUGUAGCGGUGAAAUGCGUAGAUAUCUGGAGGAAUACCGGUGGCGAAGGCGGCAUCCUGGACCGACAUUGACGCUGAUGAGCGAAAGCUAGGGGAGCAAACGGG